rnacentral:lncRNA from 1 species
UAAAUCGGGGGGCGUGACAGAGGUGGUAUCAGAGCAUUAUUUGAGGAUCACUAUAAGAUAGUUGAUACAUUUGAUUUGCAAAAUUAUAUUAAGAUUUAGUAAAUUAAAUUGAAAUCGAUGAAAAUUUUCUUUGAUAUCUUUUAGGGAUCUAGGAUGCAUCUGGUCGUCUCGAGGAAUGAAGUACGAAUGGCAGUGAUGUCGAAUUUUUAAAUUUUACUAGUUGGCUUAUUGACAUUUGGGAUGGAUUUUAUGAUGUGGUUUCGUUUAGAUGAGUUGGCUUUGGAUUUUAUGAAUCUUUGAGUGUUGUGUCGUAUGAUUAUAACUACCAAGUCUUAUGAAUUGUGUAUUAUGGGUGUGAAUUAUGACUUGAAUGAUUUUUAGUGUCCUCAAAUUUAGUAUGGAUUUCGUAUUAGAUUGUUGACUGAAUUUUCAUAUUAUGGAUUUUAGGACAGGGUCACACCUCCUGAAUGUGAUAAAUCGGGGGGCGUGACAGAGGUGGUAUCAGAGCAUUAUUUGAGGAUCACUAUAAGAUAGUUGAUACAUUUGAUUUGCAAAAUUAUAUUGAGAUUUAGUAAAUUACAUAGAAAUAGAUGAAAAAUUUCUUUGAUAUCUUUUAGGGAUCUAGGAUGCAUCUGGUCGUCUUGAGGAAUGAAGUACGAUUGGCAGGGAAGUCGAAUUUUUAAAUUUUAGAGGAUGGCUUAUUGACAUUUGUGAUGGAUUUUAUGAUGUAGUUUCGUUUAGGUGAGUUGACUUUGGAUUUUAUGAAUCUUUGAGUGUUGUGUCGUAUGAUUAUAACUGCCAAGUCUUAUGUAUUGUAGGAUUAUGGUUGUGAAUUAUGACUUGAAUGAUUUUUAGUGUCCUCAAAUUUAGUUAGGAUUUCGUAUUAGAUUGUUGACUGAAUUUUAAUAAUAUGGAUUUUAAGACAGGGUCAAAUCUCGUGAAUGUGAUAAAUCGGGUGGCGUGACAGAGGUGGUAUCAGAGCAUUAUUUGAGGAUCACUAUAAGAUAGUAAAUACAUUUGAUUUGCUAAAUUAUAUUGAGAUUUAGUAAAUUAUAUAGAAAUCGUUGAAAAUUUUGUUUGAUAUCUUUUAGGGAUCUAGGAUGCAUCUGGUCGUCUCGAGGAAUGAAGUACGAAUGGCAGUGAUGUCGAAUUUUAAAAUUUUAGAGGAUGGCUUAUUGACAUUUGGGAUGGAUUUUAUGAUGUGGUUUCGUUUAGAUGAGUUGGCUUUGGAUUUUAUGAAUCUUUGAGUGUUGUGUCGUAUGAUUAUAACUACCAAGUCUUAUGAAUUGUGGAUUAUGGGUGUGAAUUAUGACUUAAAUGAUUUUUAGUGUCCUCAAAUUUAUAUGGAUUUCGUAUUA